rnacentral:tRNA from 12 species
GCUCAGCUGGGAGAGCACCUCCCUUACAAGGAGGGGGUCGGCGGUUCGAUCCCGUCAUCACCCACCA